rnacentral:tRNA from 1 species
ACCUGGCUGGUUCAGUCGGUAGAGCUUGUGACUCUUGAUCUCAGGGUCCUGGGUUCAAGCCCCAAAUUGGGUG